UAGGAUUCCCUCAGUAAUGGCGAAUGAACAGGGAAAAGCUCAGUAUGGAAAUUGGGGCCUCUGGCCUUGAAUUGUAGUCUUGAGAUGGCAUUGCCAGCGGAGGCGCAGAUGUAAGCCUAUUGGAAAAUAGCAUCAAUGAGGGUGAGAGUCCCGUUUGUCAUCUGCAGUCCCCCGUGCACGGUGUGCUUUCUAAGAGUCACGUUCCUUGGGAUUGGAGCGCAAAUUGGGUGGUAAAUUUCAUCUAAAGCUAAAUAUUGGUUCGAGACCGAUAGCAAACAAGUACCAUGAGGGAAAGGUGAAAAGGACUUUGAAAAGAGAGUUAAAAGUGCCUGAAAUUGCUGAAAGGGAAGCGAAUGGAACCAGUCUUCUUGGUGAGAUUGGUGCACGCUAUAGUGAUUGCUCGCUGCUUCAACGCAAGUGUUGCAGUGGGUUUUGAUCUUGACGUGUGUGCUGCUUCUUACCUCGUGUGUCAACGUCGGUUCGGAAUUGAGGAAAACUCUAGGGACAUGGUAUCUCUGUUGCGGUGGAGUGAAUGUGCCUGGUAGAACUCAUUUCUUAACUGAUUUCUGCAUGUCUGGUCGCAGUGUUUCAUUACCUGUGUCUGGUUCUGCGCUUGUAGCUUCUGUUGCAGGUUGUGGUUCUGGGCCUGGUCGUGGAGCAUCUCCCUGACAUUAGUACGAUGACAAAAUGGUUUCAUUC
rnacentral:rRNA from 1 species